GGGGCCGUAGUCUAGUUAAGCAAAAGAAUAUUUUGUCUCUAGAGUGGUCUAAGAUUCCAGCCUGGGGUGCUGGCGACCGUGGGUUCGAAUCCCAUCGGCCCCA
rnacentral:tRNA from 1 species